GAAAAGGAAUUAAUGAACAAAUCGAAAUAACAAGUAAGUAAUUAUUCGUCCGUGAUCAUGAAAAAAGUAUUCGAAACGCCGGAAAUAAUAUCGAGUCCAAGUACACUCCUGGACAUAGGCCCGUCUCAAGCUUCACCAUAAUGAUCAGUGCUGCGCUGCCUGCAUCUGGCGGAUUCCCGCCACCCUCAACAGGUCGUCGGUCCUUCUUGUGGGAGGUCUACCCACGCUACGUCUUCCGGUACGCGGUCGCCACUGGACAACUUUUCAGCCUCAAAAGCCAUUUGUUCCACGAGCAAAGUGCACUGCCCAGUGCCACUUCACAGUAGCAAUCAUUUGGGCUAUGUCGGUUACAAUGGGUUUCUUGCGAAUCUCCUCAUUUGAUGCACUAAAACUUUUUUUUAAAUAUAUAAUAAACUCUUUAAAAUUCGUUUUUAUGUCACAAA